GAACCUCUGCCUCGCUAGCGCAGUUAAUUUGUCCAUCCCUCUCGCGAUAAAGACCCUCUGUUGGAGUCGAACAGGAAUCCCACGCCGCCUUCCCUAACCUCUUCCAUAAAUAUCGGCUCAGGCAGAGAGAGGAGGGGAUCCAUGGAGGCAGGGGAGCAUCCAAAUCGUUGCGGGUCGAGGUGACACAAAGGCCAAUGAAACCGAUCACGCGGCCUUUCUCAUACAGUUGGGGCCUGCUUGCUGAUCGAGCUAACCUGAUGACUUGCGCGGAAUCGUGGCGCCACCAAUCUGGCCGGUGUUGGGCGGCGGCUUUGCUAAUCGAGCCCAUCUAUUGACAUGCAUGGGAUUCAUGGCCGAUGUCGACGACGUUCGAUCUGCUAGACGUGCUCCGGCAGUCUGGCGCCAUCGAUGUCAUCGACGUCUGACUCGCCCGAUGCGCUCCAGAUUGUCUUCGCCAACCACAACCCACGGGGGUUAGACUCUAGAGGCCUGCACCUUCGCAAUGUGCAGCCACGCGGCUUGCGGAGCCCCCUCCUCCUUUGUCCUCUCCCAUCAAGCGCCGGCUCCCCCACCUCCAUCUCGCGAGCCAUCCCCGGCUCCUACCGACCCCGCAACUUCAUCGCCGCUGCCGCCAUGAAUCAGCCAGUGCAGAAGAACACCCUCUACGUAGGUACGCGGUAGCACCAUCCUCCCUCACCAACCUCUUCUCCGUCGCCGCUAUCCUCGCUCGGUCGCUCGCCAGCUGUUCGACGAAAUUCCUCUGCGAGAUGCGCAUGGUGGACUGGCGGAGGAGGUGGACGAGAAGAUCCUGCAUGCGGCAUUCGUGUUGUUCGGGGAGGUCAAGGACGUCAAGACGCCGCUCGACCAGGCCACACAGAAGCACCGCUCCUUCAGGUUCGUCACGUUCCUGGAGCGCGAGGACGCCGCCGCCGCCAUGGGCAACAUGGAUGGCGCCGAGCUCUUUGGUUGCAUCCUCACCGUGAACUACGUGUCUACGCCUUCCCCGAGGAAAUCAAGGGAGUGGAGCAGGGAUAGGCCGCGCUGCCAGGUAUGUCCGGCGUCCCAUGCUUCUCCUCAGUUCAACUACGUUACGCCCUGCUUUCGUGCUUGCCUCCCUGGUUGCUUGACACUAGGGUUAGGGCUGCCAAAUGUUUUUCUUACGUGGUAUGAAGUUGGAAGAUUAAGGGCGAGGAAUUUUUAGGACGCGAUUAGACCAAGCCUAGACGUUGAUAUGGUGUUAAUGUCUGUGAAUUAUGCUAUUGUAUUGUGGUUUGUCUUUAUGUUCUCCUUAUAAGGAUUUUCUCCAGCUCAAAUUCGUAGAAAAAUGAAUUGUCCAUGUACAUUAAGUUUUUGUGCUGAGUCAAGGAGCAAAGUCAGCCACCGCCUCCCGGUCGUGCGAGAGUGUGGACGAGCUGACUGGGGAUGAGACUUGGAGAACAAGAGCAUGGGAAGCCAGGCCUUAGGAGCAAGGGCCGAUGGGCGGCACGAUGACCUCGACAGUGUAGCGGCGCAUGCUGGUUCUACAGGUUACUCUCUCUCCCUUGCUCUCUCUGCCUCGAUCCCAAUCUUACCUCUACUCGCUGUACCAUGCACAUCAUGAAGACCGACUGGUUAUGGAGGUGACUGUCCCAUCCAUGACAAGCAUAGAGCACGCACGAACUGAAACAGAGCACUGGUGUUAAGUUAGACCAGAGGAGCACACACACGGUCAGGUUUCAGGAACCACUGCUUCAUAUUUUUUCUUUUUUAACUGAGUGCUGGUUAAAUAAGCACAACCCUCUUAUUACAUUUUAAGUUCAACUCCACACCAGCAAUAACGGCUUGUAAUGAGCUAGAUUGGCUAAGACUAGACAUUAUGGAUUUGGUAGUGUAUAUACUAUAUAAUGGAAAAUGGUAGCAUAGUCUUUGUAUGCUUCUUUUUUGAAUCGACAACACUCUACAGUCUUGAUGCUUAACUGUUGCUUUGAAAUAUUUGGAUCGCAUAUUAAACUAGAGUUUCAGUGUUAAACACUAGACAACAAGGUCACUUUGCUGCAAGCUAACCGUUUACAUGAGGCUUCAGCGAUUUGGAUUCUAGCUUUGAUGUUUACAUGAGACUAUUUUCGAGUUUACCUGAUCCAAUAUUUGCUGAUUGUAGACUUGUAGCGUGUGCCAAUGAAGUCAGAUGACUUUUCUCAAUGGGAAAUUUGGAUGUUGUGUGUUAUCUGUUGUUUCUUCAUAGACACAGCUAAAUUUCACAUUAUCUUCAUUGUAUAGCUAAUCCUCUGCCCCUCUGUAUUAAGCCUAGAAUCUGAAUAUUUUGUACUUUGACAGUUUAGUAUAUACCAUCUUCUUAGAUUUCUUCUAUUAACGUUAAUAGAGUGUAUAAUUGUUUCCUAAUCAGAAUUAAGAAAUGUUCCCAGCCAAAAUAAUUAAGCCCGUAUGAAAUACUUUAGUUGUACAACAACUGAAUUGCAUUAUUUCUAUUUUAUACAGCAGCCAGGACCCAGAUUAGUGAUGUUUAUAUGUACAGAAAACCGUAUCAGAUUUUCAUGACAAUAUGUAUGAUCUCUACUUGUAAAGACUGGUACUUUAAGCCUAGAGUGACCCUUUUGGAAAAUAUAAAGAAAUUUUCAGCUUAGAAUGACCCAACAAUUUCCAGUUUACUUUUAAGCUUAGAAUGACCCAAUGAAGUGUACUUUGCAUCAUACAAAAGGAAAUUGUUGUGUACUUGGUAUGUACUUGCAAAAUAUAACUAACACAUACUCCCUCCGUUUCAAAUUUUUUGUCUUAGAUUUGUCUAAAUACAGAUGUAUCAAGUAAACCACGUCUAAAGUUUGGAUCUGUACAUAAUAUUUUGGUCUACUGAGUCUGGUUAUAUUAACUUGGCCGGUGGUCGUUGCUUCCUGUUUUAGCUAUUUGUACACCGAUUUGAGUACACACAAUUAUUUCUGGCAAUUAUUCUACUGGGACAGAUGAGGCCGCCAAAAUCCCAUGCCUCGCUCAAUGUGUGAAUGGCCCCUCAAGAUAAUUUGCACCAAGUACUUCAGUCCUAUAAUUUUGGAUGUCAGGCGGCUUUCUCGAUCUUGGCCUUGAAGUUAGGAUGAUGUGCGACCGGCUUGAAAGGAGCUGGAGUGCUACCAAACAACCCGAAAGUCGGUGAUGUCUCCGUAGUUCUUGUACACAUAUUGUCACUGGUUUCCAUCACUUUUCUUUCCCAUAAAGACACCAAAUUCCAUGGGCACCAUGAUGAUCACUAGAAAAUGACUAUGUACAUAUUAAAUCUACAUGCAAUUGAUGCCCUGUUUAAACACAAAAUCAA